GACGAACGCUGGCGGCGUGCUUAACACAUGCAAGUCGAACGGAAAGGCCCUGCUUUUGUGGGGUGCUCGAGUGGCGAACGGGUGAGUAACACGUGAGUAACCUGCCCUUGACUUUGGGAUAACUUCAGGAAACUGGGGCUAAUACCGGAUAGGAGCUCCUGCUGCAUGGUGGGGGUUGGAAAGUUUCGGCGGUUGGGGAUGGACUCGCGGCUUAUCAGCUUGUUGGUGGGGUAGUGGCUUACCAAGGCUUUGACGGGUAGCCGGCCUGAGAGGGUGACCGGCCACAUUGGGACUGAGCUACGGCCCAGCCUCCUACGGGAGGCAGCAGUGGGGAAUAUUGCACAGUGGGCGGAAGCCUGAUGCAGCAACGCCGCGUGCGGGAUGACGGCCUUCGGGUUGUAAACCGCUUUCGCCUGUGACGAAGCGUGAGUGACGGUAAUGGGUAAAGAAGCACCGGCUAACUACGUG
rnacentral:rRNA from 1 species